rnacentral:lncRNA from 1 species
AGUGUAAUUAUGUAAUAAAUGAAGGGGAAAAUAUGUAAUAAGUGAGGAGCCCUUAGUCUAUAAAAGGGGCUCCUCACCCUCACAAUUGGGGAGCCUAACAUCCCUAAACAGAGGCUCUCAUAUUCAGAGCUCUCAUCCUCACAAAGUAGCUCUCUCAAACCCUCUGUUUCUCUGGGGGACUCCCCCUCACGCUUGUAAUCCAUACAUUCAUACAGAGAAAUACAAUCAACAUCAGUGUGGACGUAGCCCAAACAUUGGGGUGAACCACGAUACAUCUUGUGUUCUUUACUUUCUUGCAGAUUCACUGUUGGAUUUACGUUGUUCCAAGACCCCUUCGGUUUUGUGCAUCAACAAAACUAAUGAAAUUCCUUAAAAUAUAGUGAAACUUUGUCUAUAUAUAUAAAGUUCCCAAUUAUUAAUAUCAACAUUGAAUAUAUUUUAUUCAUUUUAGAACCCACACUGUUUCUAGGGAAUAAUUAUUAACUUUCAAUGUUUGAUUAUUUUAUUCAUUUUAAUGCAAAACUUGGCAACGAGAUAGAGAGUGAAUUUCUAGCAUAUUCAAUGGCUGCCAUUGAAAACAAAAAAUGUUGAUUCAAAAUGAAAUAACAAAUUAUUUCAAUUCCAUUAAGGAUCAAAUGGCACAACUUGAACAAGUACUUUUUUCUUUUUGUUUGUUAAGUUGUUAUGAACAAGAUUGAUGACAUAUUUUUUUUCUAUUGCAAGUUGCAACGUUAAAUGUUUUCUCCUGAAUCUAGUUGAAACUUGAUUAAUGUAGAGCUAUAAAAUUUUUACUUCAAAUUAUUACUUUCAAGUUUAUUAUUAAAUAACUUUACGUAGGCGUAGGCCACAAACAAAUUUGAGCAUUUGAUUUCCUAGUAAUAAUAUUAGCUUAGCCCACCUACUAAAUAAUUUGUGGCUCUGCCAUUAUGACGUUUGUACAUUAAAAGGGAGCAUUUUUGCGCACCACCAUAACUAUGGUGUAUGCUCACCAUACAUCUAAUCAUCUGCCACAUUUAUGGUGAUGAGCAUACACCAUAAUUUAUGAUGGUGCGCACAAAUGCUCCCUACAGCAAUAUAUUACCCUUCAUCAUGAAAGAACCACUAACUCCUUAUGUAAAGGCUUAAGCAGUGGCAUGAGUGAAUUUUUCUUCUUAUUCCCUCUGCAACGACCUUGCUUGGUCCAUCCCCAUUCAAUAAUGGUUUUCCUUUCAUUAUUUAAAAAGGGUUUUUAUUGGUCUAAUCAUUUUAGGGUUCUAGGUAAAAACUAGUCUCUUAAUUUCUUAACAAUUCUCUGUUCGAUAUAUGUCAACAAUCCGUGAUAUAAUUAUAUAUGCUAAUAAAUAAUAAAUAUGAAUAGAAAAAUUAACAGAAUAUGAACAAA